GAAGAGGCUCAUAUCUACCACCAACUAAAAGGUACUAUAUUUUGAGACGCAUGAGGAUAUUUCUACAGCGAACAAAUAUAAUUGACUACAUAUAAGAUACACAGAAAAUGAGAAGAAAAGGAUCUAGGGGAUAUAGACAAUAAUAUAGUCUAAAAAACCCUAAAAAGAAGAAGGAGAAGAAGAAGAACGCCGCGUCAGGAAGGGGCUCCUUGGUUCAGAUCUACCACCAACUGAAAGAUACAACAUUUUGAGAUGCAUGAAGAUAUGUCUACAGUGAACAAAUAUAAGUCAUUACAUGUAAGCUACAAAGAAAAUCAGAAGAAAAGGAACCCAGGGGAUAUAGACAGUGUUAUAUUUGAAAACCUAAUGAAAGAAAUUAAAGAAAAUCAGAAGAAAAGGAACCAGAGGAUAUAGACAAUAUUAUAGUCCAAAACCCAAUAAAAGGAGAAGAGGUUUUAUCUACUUUGGCAUCAAAAAGUGGGGGCAGUGCUCCCUGUGACCCUUCCUGGGGGGCCACUGCCUCCCAACCCCCACCCUGGAGAACAAAAAAUCCUCCACGUUUUUGCAGCAGGAGAGAGCAUCGGACAGACAAGGCAUUGGGUGCCUAGUCUGGUCACUGUGGGUAUUGCAAGAAUUCCACACUGUUCGCACUCCUGUAAAACUAGUUAGUAGA